rnacentral:lncRNA from 1 species
GCAGCGGUGCGCGGUUCCCAGGCGGGCGGCGGGAGGGGCCGCCCGAGGCCGCGGUCCGCUCCACCCUCGCAGGGACAGGGCGGGCCCGGACCCGGCCGCGCGCACCCUCCUGCCCGAGUUGCGACGAACGCUCGGCCGGCGUUCGAGUCGUGUGCCCCGGGGCCUGAACGUCGCCGGCCGGGGCGAAAACAGUCGGGGGCCUGCGCGGCACCCGCCCGGGACGGCUGAGGGUCGCGGCGACCCGCGGUGCAGAAGCCAGCGCCGGCCCCCUUCCCGAGGCGGCGCCGCUGCCCGGGGCUGGGAGGAGCGAGGCGGAAGCACUCCGUCGCAGGCGCCAGUGGCGAGUCGCGGCGCGGGGACCUGUCGGCUGGGAAGGCGCGGCCCCGGGAGAGCAGGAGAGGCGCGGGUCUUGCGUAGCCUCAGGGAGAUAACUUUCCGUUUUCUACUUUCCCAGGAGACGCGCUUCACCUGCGAGGAAGCCUCGCCGGAACCAUGAGUGUGCACCGCCCGAUCCCGACCUGGGCACUGGAAGAUCGGCGGCCUCAGGGGAAUUUUCCGAGCGAAGCUGGAGAUGACGCCGCCCGCACGGUGCCGUGGGAGUCUUUGCCCGCAGGAAGACAAGGCGGCAGGUGCGGGUCGCCGCUGACCUGCCCCCAACCACCAAGGGCUGUCGGAGCGGGCUUCGCCGCGACCGAGCCAGGGGCUGUGCCAGCCUGGGUCGGGCGUCCAAUUCCUGCCCUCGAGGAGGCAGAAUUCUUCCCGAGAGGUGUUCUCCCUGCUCGCCGCUCAGGCACGUCCAGGACACAGCUCUGGUAAAGUUAAACAGGGCCUCCCGUGCCGUAUUUCUCUGUGAACACACCGUUCAGUCCUUUAUAUCUUAUUAGAAAAUGGGCAUGAUGUAUGGCAAUGGGUGUAAUAAAACACGUCGGGCAGCGAUCCUGUGUCAACAUAAAAUUCCUGAGUUCUCCAAGUUUGGGGGGUUCCUGUCACCUCAUAAGCAGCAUUUGAAAGACCGUCCUGUAUUCAUUCCGCUAACAUUUAAGGAGACGCUAAAAGACCUGCUGCUCGCGUCCUCGCUGGAAGGUCUUCCCAGCAGCCUGUCGCUGGCUUUCCGGGAAGGGAACGCAGCCUUGACCCUAGGGCGGAGACCGAAGGAGCUCAGCACCUGUGCAGAUACCUGCGCAGCGCUUCGCUGCCUCGGGUCUUCCUGAACGAGUGCCUUUUCUAGGAAAGCUGUAGGUUUUGCGUAAGUUUUAAAGAAAAAUAUCAGAUGCAAAGUAUGAAAUUGGGGUUUCCUAAAAGCUCGCGUGAGCUUAUCUUCAGUCUUUCACCUUCCCUAAAACCGAAAGUGGCUUCCUUCGCUGCUUAGGUCCCACUUCCCGCCCCUCAAAGGCCUCCUUCCUCUUGGAAAUUUCACCGUGGUCCUGGGCAGCCUAAAGAAACACUCUAGGGAUUACUUGUCUAGAAUUACGCCUCGGAACGUGGACUCCUUCUGAAGUAAUUUCGGUCACGGUCUUAGCUCUUUUCCUCUAGGAAAAAUAAAAGGGGUAAAGUUCAAAGGCAAACCAGCAAUCUACCCCGUCUUAAGGACUUCCGCUUGUGCGCUGACCUUGCAUGCUGCUUGUACUUAUUCACCUUUGAAUUGAGCAAAACGAGUUUUAUUUCCUUAAUAAACCACGGUGAGAUUUAAGCUACAAUAACGUGCACACUAUAAUAAACCUGAAUGGCU